CAGGAUCCAGUAAAGACGCAGGCUGCUGACACAGCUGGCGUUAGUGUGAAAGACAAUGAAACGUCAGGCUGCUGGAGGCAUGUAACAGUGACAUCGCUGCUUCUUUGACUCAAAGACAGGAUAAGGAGGUGCUCAACUGACUAUGCUCUGCUUUGUUCUGCCUUCUGCCUUUGGUCUGUAUAUAAGCAGGCUCUGACAGGAACUCAUGGCUGUUCGGUGUUCUGAGAGGCAUCAAGUGACAAUCCUCCUGACUCUGUCUGGUUGUCUUUGUGUUGUUUGUCUUAACGCCUACCCCUGUUUCAGGGAACCCAGCUGACUCCUUGGAGCAGGCUCCCACAGUCGCCCAGUCGUGAGGCCUGACUACAGAGGAUUCCAUGAGAGUGCUCAGAAAAAAAUGGGAUUAUGGCAUCUGUUUGGUCUGUGCUGUGACAUUUGGUUAGCACUCACCUUGUGCUAAAGCUCCAGGAUCUUCACUUCAGACAUCAUCUUGGGUGUGUUUAUCUUCUGGGUGGAGGUCAAAGUCACCUCGUAAUCCAGUUUGCCCAGCCUCCUGGAGUUCACAAGGAUGGUGCUACAUGCAUGGCAGUUACCACCUGCAGGCUGUGUGACCUUGGACAAGCCAGUUCCCCAAAGCUGGAAGAUCCGAGUUCACAGCACACAGACCGUUAAUCGCCAAGAGCGGAAGCUGCCUGAGGGGAGGCUCUGAAAACAGGAGGCGGAUCAAGUUCCGCACCCACAUCCUCUGUAGAAGACACAGGCCUUUUGUUUCUCAUCUCUGCUGCCCUUUGGAUUUGAUCAAGAGCCAACUUGGAAAACAGUGAAGCUGUGGAAGAGGAAGGCUGAGGGGCCACGGCCGCCGCCGUCUCCCCCUAACACCAAGCGUGAGGAGUGUAAGACCCUCCCUCUGAGGCCUGGACCAGGAAGCACUGAUCCCUGUGGUGUUCUCCAACCUCAGAGCCUUCUGUCUCCUGUGGAGAGCUGCCCUUCAAAUGGUUCAGAUGCGUUUUGGCAGUCCUUGAUGGCAUGGCCCUACAGAGGCGCUAUCAGGGUGAGCCCGCCAAGCGUCCCCCUCCCACCUGAGCAUCCCAGGCAGAUCCCUGUGUCAUUAAGAAGGAUCUGUGGGGACCGAAAAGAUGGCUCAGUGGGUGUGAGUGCCAGCUGCACAGCAUUAAGACUCGAGUUCCAAUCCCCAGCACCUACGUAAGAAAGUUACGUGUGGCUGCAUCCUGUUGGCCUGUAAUCCCAGUGCUGGGUAGAGACCAGUGUAUUGUUGGGACUUGUUGGCCUAGCUCCAGAGUCAGGGGGAAACCCUAUCUCAAGGAAAUAAAGCCGAGAGUGACA